ensembl:lncRNA
CCUAACUAUGACUUGCAAAGGUCCUUGAAUUUCUUAUGCAACAGCUAUGGCCAAGGACAGAGCUCUGCACCAGCUGAACCACGGGCCUGAUCCAGUACUACAGUUGCUUUUCCACUCCCAUGGCAAUAAUUUCCCCAUGAUAUUGAGCACAGUCCUCAUGGUGUAUUGACACCACUAUAGGAAUAUGUGGAUGGAGGUUUCCUAUGUUGUACCAGCCACAGAAGCAGAACAAAUACACGAAAACCAACAGAAGCUUUAGUUUUACUACUUAGGAUGUGUAUGGGAGCUGUUGAAUCACAGCCUGAACCACUGAUUGAUCACCUGAGGCAAGCACUGAGUCAGCCAUGGGAGCACAGGUGAAGGCAAUUCACCUGUGUGACCAGAAGGGGUGGAGCCUGGCUGCACCUCUCCUAGACCCCAUUUAAGGGCUGACUGCCGCUGGUGAAGGAUAUCUUUUUGGAGCUUGCUCCCUUUGGAGUUUUUCUGUGAGCCUCUGAUAUGGGGAUCAGAAUUCUAUCCCAUACGAUGAAAUGUGACUGGAGUUGACUGUAUUUACUGUGGAAAAAGUAAAAUCAUUUUAGAAAUGCAUUUAAGUGGAAGAUGUUAUCUCCUUUGGCAUGUCUGCAUCACACACACAGGGGUGUGUAAGGUUCUAGGUGUACUGGAAGCAUCACUGUGCUUUGUUGAAGAGAAGAAAAAAGACUGGGGAGAAGGGAUUCCAUCGUCUCUUGAAGUUCAUAUUUGGUAGAGUUCUCCCUAGCAGAAGGCCUGUACAGUGCCUAGGUAACACAUGGAGUCAAAACAGGAAGAGAGGGAGGCAGAGCAGUACAUGAAU